GACGAACGCUGGCGGCGUGCUUAACACAUGCAAGUCGAACGGAAAGGCCCUGCUUUUGUUGGCUGCUCGAGUGGCGAACGGGUGAGUAACACGUGAGUAACCUGCCCUUGACUUUGGGAUAACUUCAGGAAACUGUGGCUAAUACCAGAUAGUAGCGCCUGCUGCAUGUUGGUGGUUGGAAAGUUUCGGCGGUUGGGGAUUGACUCGCGGCUUAUCAGCUUGUUGGUGGGGUAGUGGCUUACCAAGGCUUUGACGGGUAGCCGGCCUGAGAGGGUGACCGGCCACAUUGGGACUGCGAUACGGCCCAGACUCGUACGGGAGGCAGCAGUGGGGAAUAUGGCACAAUGGGCGGAAGCCUGAGGAAGAAACGCCGCGUGCGGGAUGACGGCCUUCGGGUUGUAAACCGCUUUCGCAGGUGACGAAGCGUGAGUGACGGUAAUGGGUAAAGAAGCACCGGCUAACUACGGG
rnacentral:rRNA from 1 species